rnacentral:lncRNA from 10 species
AAGUAGCCUGGUGGCUCAGGGAAAUUACUUAACCUCUUGGAGGUUCAGAAUGCUCAAAUGGAUUAAGAUAUCAAAUUGGAGACUUUAUAAGACCCUGUAGUUCUAAGUGACUUCCAUGUGCUUCCAAGUCAUUUACCAGGUACUACAGGUGAAGCCAGAGACACUGGCCAUGAGUUAUCUUCAAGGUCAACUGUGAUCAUCUCAAUCUCUUCCUAAAAACUGUCAAUCAUUUCCAAACACCUACUGAACAAAAUUCUAUGGAUACCGUUGAAAGCUUCCUACCAAUGAAGAUAAAGGAAAAGAAAAAAAGGAAUUUUCUCUGCCCCCAGCUGAAUUGAAGAUGGCAGCCUGGGUUCCUGAAUGACUGUCUUCCACCACAGACUACACUCUGCAAGAGUAAAGAAUCAACUUAUUUUGUGUUCAACUGCAGAAAAUCUGGGUGUUGUUUUUUUUUUUGUUUGUUUGUUUUUGUUUUUGUCACAGCAACUAAAUUAGCUGCAUAUAGAAAUGUCUGCCUAUAUACAAAAAAAAGGUAUUUGCACUAUUGAUUUCUUCAAUGGGAGCUUUUAAGCUUUCACCUAAUUAAGUCAAUAAACCAUCCACUAUAGUUCUGAUACCAGUUCCUGGGGUCUUAAUGAAGGAAUGAAUACUGAAUAAAUCACUGGAUAAAGAAAAAGUAGAUAAUUAAGUAAAUCAUUGAAUAAAUAAAUAAACAGGCUUGUCAGUGGUAGGUGCUCCAGAGUGGGGUAAGAUGACAAAAACAUCUUCUUCCCUGGGCCUUUUUAUGUCUGGAACAGCUGAGCACAACCACUGAUUUAUUCCUCGAGAAGUGUGACAUGAAUUGUGAUGCAGGCCUAGGACUCUGAGACAGUUAACAAGAGGCUCAGAGAGAGAUUGGCUGACCCACAGCUACUGCCCUGAGACUGAGUAGUGUAGUGGGGAGGCCAAUAGAGGGAGAUAAAUGAAGUGCCAUCUAAUUAAGAAACAGGGCAAUGGCUCAUCCUAGGGCUGAGAAGGAAAGAGAGGCUGCUUCUACCAGGUUCUCCAUCCUGCAACACAAGGCUUUGGUAUCAGGAUGCUGCUGGCCUCAUCAAAUGAGUUAGGGAGGAUUCCCUCUUUUUCUAUUGAUUGGAAUAGUUUCAGAAGGAAUGGUACCUGCUCCUCUUUAUACCUCUGGUAGAAUUCGGCUGUGAAUCCGUCUGGUCCUGGACUUUUUUUGGACAGCAGUUGGUUGACAUUUAAAGGGCUACUGUCCCAGAAGGCUGCUUGCCUGGGCCCAUGGCACUGCCAGAAAUCACAAGACUAAGCUGAAAAAGCACAAAGAAGUUUCCUUUCAUUCCAGGAACCUCUUGGCUUGAAUAUGAAAUAGCCUCUUAGUGACACUACACUGCAAUUUCAAAUAAUAGGUUUUUUAUCACCUCUUUGAGAAAUAUCACCUUGGGUUCAUCCCAGAAAAAUAAUACAAAGUAGAAUUUUUUCAAACGUAAUCCCCUUGGGUUCCUCUCAGAAAAAAAUAGAAAGUAGAAUUCUUUCAAACUUAAUCCCCUCUUUGUAUUUGUCUCCUCUGCAUCUCUCCAAAGUAGAUGGGUAGGAGAGGGAAACAGUGCUGUAGAAAAUGGGACAAGAACACACCCUAAUAAAACAAGAAAACAUGGUUUGCCAGAGGUCUCCUUUCCCAGGCUCAAGCCUCAAGUUUCUAAUUGUCCCUACAUUACUCCCACAAAUGCCUUUCUGGGAGAGUCUUGUAUGCUAGACCUCUGCCAUCUUCCCAUCCUUUCUCCCUUCCUCCUAACCUUCACUCUUGAGAAAGACUCAUCCUGGCUUCUGUGUCCAUAGAACCUUGAAGCAGCUUUCUGGUGAGGAGGUGAGCUACUUCCUGCAAAACUACUAGUAGCUGCUAUUGAUUAAUGUAUUCUUCCAACCAGGUAAUGUAUUCCUGUUCCAACAGAAGUCUUCUUGAGACAUAUCUGAAAGUGACAUAGUAACCAGAAGGAAGAUUUUUGGAGGGUUCUUGAACUAGCUCUACAUAGGAAACUGCCAACAAUAACUUCCUGUGGCAUUUGUUAAGUUGUGAUUCUGCCCCUCACUGCUUGACUUAGUCCUCUUGACAAGGGCCAGGAGGAGAAAACAGGUCUCAAAGAACAGUGUACAUCAAAGCCUGGCUUUCCAGCAAUGCCUGACCCUGCCAAAGAAGGCAGGGAAGCCCCCACAGAGCCUCUUAGAAACCUCAACUCCCUCAGCCUCUUGUCCCAGAGCAUCACUGGCAGGUAUAGACCAAGCAUAUCCACAUCCACACGUACGUCUUUUUUGCUUUUAUUCAUUUUAGUUUAUAACAACUAUUUAUUUAGGACGUGGUUCUGUGAGCUGUUAAAUUGUUCUAUUGUCAGAUCAUAGCUGUAUACAUUUGUGGGGUGUCAAAACGAUGUUUUAACAUAUACAUACAAUCAGUGUGAUUAAAUCAAGCUAAUUAACACAUCCAUCACCUUGCUUACCUAUCUUUUUUAUGGUGAGACAUUUGAAAUUUACUCUCUUAGUUGUUUUGAAAUAUACAAUGCAGUAUUAUUGACUAUAGUCACCCUGGUAUACAAUAUAUCUCAAAAUCUAUCCCUACUGUCUCUCUGAAACUUUGUACCCUUUGAUUAACAACUCCCAUUCCCCUUUCAAUCUGAAACAUUGUACCCUUUCAUCAGCAACUCCUCAUUCCCUCCCUCCCAGCCCACUCUUAGCCUCUUUCUACUCUCUAUUUCUAUGAGUUCAACUUUGUUAGAUUUUUACAUGUAAGUGAGAUCAUGCAGCAUUUGUCUUUCUGUGCCUGGUUUAUUUUACUUAGCAUAAUGUCCUUCAGAUUCAUCCGUGUUGAUGCAAGUGACAGGAUUUCUCCCUUUUUAAGGCUGAAUAAUUUUCUAUUGUGUAUGUUUCACAUUUCCUUUAUACACUCAUCCAUUGAUGGAUACCUAAGUUGUUUCAUGUUUUAGCUAUUGUGAAUAAUGCUGCAAUAAACAUGCAGAGUACAGAUAUUCUGUUGACAUAUUGAUUUCAGUUUCUUUAUAUAUUCAGAAGUGCGAUUACUAGGUCAUACGGUAGUUCUAUUUUUAAUUUUUUGAGGAACCUCCAUGUUAGUUUCCAUAAUUGAUGUAUAAAUCACAUUCUCACCAACAGGGUAUGAGUUUUCUUUUUCUGCAUCCACUCCAAGAUUUGUUAUCUUUCUUCUUCUUGAUAAAAGCCACAUUAACAGAUGUGAGGUGAUAUCUCAUUGUGGUUUUAACUUGAAUUUCCCUAAUGAUUAGUGAUGCUGGGCAUUCUUUAAUGUACCUGUUGGCCAUUUGCGUGUCUUCCUUUGAGAAACGUCUGCUCAAGUCCUUUGCCCAUUAUGUUAGAUCAUUCUUUUGUUGUGAGAAAUUAAUAUCUGAGAUUGGGUAAGUUAUAAAGAAAAUAGGUUUAAUUGGCUCACAGUUUGAAGGCUAUACAGAAAGCAUAGCCCCGGCAUCUCCUCAGCUUCUGGAGUGGCCUCAGGGAGCUUUUACUCAUGGCAGAAGGCUACUUGGGAGCAGGCACAAAGCAUGGUGAAAGCAGGAGCAAGAGAGAGAGGGGAGGUGCCACACUUUACAUCAACCGGAUCUUGUGAGAACUCACGGUUGUGAUGACAGCACUAAGCACGAGUGAUUUGCCCCCAUGACCCAAACAUCUCCCACCAGGCCUCACAUCCACAAUUGGGGAUUAGAUUUCAACAUGAGAUUUGGGUGGGGACAAAUAUCCAAACUAUAACACCCAUUUUUAAAUCAGGUUUUUGUUUCUUUGCUAUUGAGUUGUUAGAGUUGCUUCUAUGUUUUGGAUAUUAACUCCUUGUCAGAUGUAUGGUUUGCAAAUAAUUUCUCCCUUUCUAUGAGUUGUCUCUUCACUUUGUUAGUAGUGUCCUUUGUUGUGCAGAGGCUUUUUAGUUUAAUAUAACCCCAUUUGUCUAUUUUUGCUUUUGUUUCCUGUGCUUUCAGGGUUACGUCCAAAAAUAUCAUUGCUUAGACCACUGUUAGGGAGAUUUUCCACUGUUUUCUUCUAGCAUUUUUACAGUUUUGGGUCUUAUUUUUAAGUCUUUAAUCCAUUUUGAGUUGAUUUUUUAAUUGUGUAAGAUAAGGAUUCAAUUAAGCCCUGAAUUCUCUAAUUCUGAAAGGGUGGUGUGAAGUAACUUUAUUCCUACUAGGAAGGUUGUAAGACAAACUUAUUUAAAAUAACUGUGGAUCCAAUAAAUUCUUACAAAUAUAAAUACAAGAACAAAUGUAAAUUUCGACAUUAAAAACAAAAGGUGGGAGAAAGGCAGUGAAAGUGUAGAGUUUUGUAUGCAAUUAAAAGCAAUUAUUGUCAGCUUAAAGUAAUCCGUUUUAAGGAUAACAUGUUUUAUGUAAGCCUGAUGGUAACCACAAAACAAAAACCUAUAGUAGUUGCACAAAAUAUAAAAUAAAAGCUUUCAAACUGUACCCCCACAGAAAAUCAUCAAACUACAAAGGAAAACAGUAAAAGAUGAAGAAAGAAACAAGGGACCUACCAAACUGUCAAUAAUUACAUUGAAUGUAGAUGAAUUAAGUCGUCCAAUAAAAAGAGUGGCUCAAUAGAUGAAAAAAAACAAGAAAAAACUUGCUUUACUGGUAAGGACCCACAUAGGCUGAAAGUAAAGGAAUGCAAAAAGAUAUUCCAUGCAAAUGGAAACUAAAAGGAGCAAGUGUAACUAUGCUUAUCUCAGACAAAAUACACUUUAAGUCAAAAACUAUAAAAAGAGACAAACAUGAUUACAUAAUAAUAAAGAAUAUACAAAUAUAUAUUUGUAACAUUGCAAAUAUAUAUGCCCCCAAUAUUGGAGCACCUAAAUUUGUAAAGCAAUUAUUAAAUAAUCUGAAGGGAGAGAUAGAAUGAGUUACUAUUAUAGUAUGGUGCCUCAAUACCCCACUUUGGACAAUGGGCAUAUUAUCUAGACAGAAAAUUAAUAAACAUUGGUCUUGAAUUAUACUUUAGACCAAAUGGACCUGACAGACAUAUACAGCACAUUCCAUCCAACAACAAAAUACACACUCUUCUGAAGUACACAGGGAACAUCUUCCAAGGUAGAUCAUAUUUUAGGCCACAAAACAAAUCUCAACACAUGUAAGAGGAAUGAGGUCAUAUCACGUAUCAUUUCAGAUCUCAAUGGCAUAAAACUAUAAAUCAAUAACAGGAGAAAUCUUGGAAAAUACAGAAAUAUGUGGCACAUAUUUCUGUUACAGUUUCAGUACACAGAUCUUUUACCUCCUUGAUUAAA